AACGAACGCUGGCGGCAUGCCUAACACAUGCAAGUCGAACGAAGCCUUCGGGCUUAGUGGCGCACGGGUGCGUAACGCGUGGGAAUCUGCCCUUGGGUUCGGAAUAACAGUUAGAAAUGACUGCUAAUACCGAAUGAUGUCUUCGGACCAAAGAUUUAUCGCCCAAGGAUGAGCCCGCGUCGGAUUAGCUAGUUGGUGAGGUAAAGGCUCACCAAGGCGACGAUCCGUAGCUGGUCUGAGAGGAUGAUCAGCCACACUGGGACUGAGACACGGCUCAGACUCCUACGGGAGGCAGCAGUGGGGAAUAUUGGACAAUGGGCGAAAGCCUGAUCCAGCAAUGCCGCGUGAGUGAUGAAGGCCUUAGGGUUGUAAAGCUCUUUUACCCGGGAUGAUAAUGACAGUACCGGGAGAAUAAGCCCCGGCUAACUCCGUGACAGCAGCCGCGGUAAU
rnacentral:rRNA from 1 species